rnacentral:rRNA from 1 species
UACAGGGGGGGCAAGCGUUGUUCGGAAUUACUGGGCGUAAAGGGCUCGUAGGCGGCCCACUAAGUCACACGUGAAAUCCCCAGGCUUAACCUGGGAACUGCGUGUGAUACUGGAUGGCUUGAGGCCGGGAGAGGGUAGUGGAAUUCCCAGUGUAGCGGUGAAAUGCGUAGAUACUGGGAGGAACACCGGUGGCGAAGGCGGCUACCUGGACCGGUUCUGACGCUGAGGCGCGAAAGCGUGGGUAGCAAACAGG